rnacentral:lncRNA from 1 species
ACUACUACUAUACAUUAGUAUUUCUAUUUUUUAUCUAUAUAUGUUUUAUAUUUAUUUUAUUUGCAUUUUAAUUUUUCAGUUAUUUAUUUAUUUAUAUUUAAUUUCUGUUUUUGUUUUUGUUUCAGUUUCACUUUUUAUUUUCGUUUUUAAUUUUAUAAAAUUAUGCAAGUCAAAGAAACUAGGAGAAUCACAAGACAAAUGCUAUCCGGUCCCCUCAAAGCCAAAAGACAAGAGAAGCCCAAACCAAAGGACCAAAAUCUGGCCCAGCCAGAUUUUGCCUUGUGGCGCCCGCCACAGCGUCUGUAAAAAAGCCAAAAGACAAGAGAAGCCCAAACCAAAGGACCAAAAUCUGGCCCAGCCAGAUUUUGCCUUGUGGCGCCCGCCACAGCGUCUGUAAAUGGUCGGGGCAGACCCCUUUU